ACAGUUUGUCAGUCGCGACCAGAGUUAAGAAGAAGAAGAAGAAGAAGAUUAACACAGGGAUCGACCGAAUAUCACCCGAUUUUAUAGGGUGGGCCGACGCAAUCCUACUAAAUAGGUGGAUAAAUCGGUAUUUUAAGUAAAAUCCAAGCAAGUUGACCUACUAAACAUCAGAUUUCAUCGGUCACCCGAUUUAAUCUAGUCUUAGUCAGUCGAUCGCUGUGUUAAACUUCCAUAAGCGUCGGUGCAACAAUCGACCGAUUAUUCAACCAAUUUAGUCGGCUGUUGAACUGUCAAAUGUUUAAUGGGGAACAUUCUGCUCUGAACAAUCCCUCGGCUGGCCUCGUGAAAUAGAUACAGCCCGAAGACGACUUUCAUCAAGACGGAAAAGCAUCGCAAUGCUAGCAGUUCGUGAGCCUUUUCCGGAUGUGACCGAUGGAUGUGCGGUAUGCUGGGGUCUGGUAGGUAUUCCUGUCGGAGGCGACCUAAAAACUGCAUUUGGCAUAAUCGUUCAGUGCUUCCACGUUUUCAAUGUGUCGCCAAAUCCCUUCGACAAGAAUUUCUUUUUGUUCAUCGGUGCAGCUAUAACAAACACCAACACAUUGGCUAAGACUUGUGCAAAUUUUUUGAAUGGAUUGCAGUGAACGCUUACGAUUAGUGACAUGGCGUUUCCUUUAAGUGCAAACUAAUUUCAUUAAAACGUAUUCCUUAGCGUAAAAUAAACAUUCUAUCUAAAGAGUA